rnacentral:tRNA from 1 species
GGGGGCGUAGCUCAGCUGGUAGAGCAGCGGAUUUUUAAUCCGGAGGUCCCGGGUUCGAUCCCCGGCGCCCCUACCA